UACAUGGGGUGCAAACGUUGCUCGGAAUUAUUGGGCGUAAAGCGCGCGUAGGCGGUUACUCAAGUCGGAUGUGUAAGCCCUCGGCUUAACUGAGGAAGUGCACCCGAAACUGAGUAGCUAGAGUACUAAAGAGGGUCGCGGAAUUCCCGGUGUAGAGGUGAAAUUCGUAGAUAUCGGGAGGAACACCGGUGGCGAAGGCGGCGACCUGGGUAGAUACUGACGCUGAGGCGCGAAAGCGUGGGGAGCAAACAGG
rnacentral:rRNA from 1 species